UACGAAGGGGGCUAGCGUUGCUCGGAAUCACUGGGCGUAAAGCGCACGUAGGCGGAUUGCUAAGUCAGGGGUGAAAUCCUGGAGCUCAACUCCAGAACUGCCUUUGAUACUGGCAAUCUCGAGUCCGGGAGAGGUGAGUGGAACUGCGAGUGUAGAGGUGAAAUUCGUAGAUAUUCGGAAGAACACCAGUGGCGAAGGCGGCUCACUGGUCCGGUACUGACGCUGAGGUGCGAAAGCGUGGGGAGCAAACAGG
rnacentral:rRNA from 1 species